rnacentral:rRNA from 1 species
AUUCCAGCUCCAGUAGCGUAUAUUAAAGUUGUUGCAGUUAAAAAGCUCGUAGUUGGAUUUCUGGCGUGGUGCGCCCGGCCCGAUACCGCUAAGGUGUCGAGUGCCGGCGCGCGCCUGCCAUCCUUCCGGAGAGCGUGCCUACCCUUCACUGGGCCGGGUACGCGAUCUGGAUCGUUUACUUUGAAAAAAUUAGAGUGUUUAAAGCAGGCUUACGCUUCUGAAUACAUUAGCAUGGAAUAAUAAGAUAGGACUUUGGUUCUAUUCUGUUGGUUUCUAGAACUAAAGUAAUGAUUGAUAGGGACAGUUGGGGGUGCUAGUAUUUAACGGCCAGAGGUGAAAUUCUUGGAUUCGUUAAAGACUAACUAAUGCGAAAGCAUUCACCAAGGAUGUCUUCAUUA